rnacentral:lncRNA from 1 species
CUUCAUUUGAAUUGCUAUCACUAGUCCGUCAUGAGCCCGCUGUAAAGGUGCAGUACUAGAUUUAUAUGAAAGACCAAUUUUACUGUUGUAGUCAGUACAUUUAUACUAAAAGAGCAGCAGUUGGAUUUACUUGGCAUUCUGACUGACAUAUGAAAAGAAGUUCAGUGGUUGAAUAUCACAAUACAGAAGCCAUAUUUUACAUAAAUUGGAGUUACGGUUUUUUCAUAGUUAACAACGUAUACUGCCUUGUAAAACGUGGUGUUAACAAAAAAGUUAUAGUACUAAAUUUGUAUACCGAAUAUUCCAAAAUAGUUCAUAGACAAGCUAUCUCAAACAGUUCAAACUGUUUCCAAAGACCAAGCAAGAUAUAAUGAUUAGUUUUUGAUUCCAAUAAUAUAUGUUACUCGUUAUAACACAUAAAAGAUAUCUUGAUUUUUCCUCAGCACUGCUGCAAAGGACGAUUCUUAUCUAAAACAGGACUUGAAUUGACUUAAAUCUAAAGCUGGGUUGUUUGCUGUUAAUUUUGAUGCUCAAAAAUCCAAAAUCUUUUUGUAAAAAUGAUAUUGUUUUGCUUUAAAAACCAUCAAUUUUCACUCAAAAAUCACUGAUUAGCUAGCUAAUGCCAACUCCCUUUCAUGAGUACUCCAUACUUAUCGCACCAAGACUUUAUAAGAUCUAGCGAAACAUUUAAAUUUUUCCGCUUCAGCCAAAGUUGAAAUUCUUCCACAUCAAUAGCAGAAUACGUAAGAAUUUUAAUCCACACACUAUUGUCUUUGGCUUGCUUAACAACUUGCGAAAUUGCUCUAUGAGUCUGUGUCACUAUAUCAUCAAACUCCAAUACUGUUUUAGUAGAAGUUAUCAAAUAAUCAUGGGGAGUUUCUUUGCCUAAUUUUUUAGACUGAGAUCGGCUAUCGAUUGCAUCCAAACAAGAUUCUACUAUCUUAAUGAGAGUUGCUUUCGAAUCUGAUGAUUUGAAGCCAUAACUUUCCGCUAUAGCACGUAAUUUUUCAACCGGAAAAUUCUCCAACUUUUCUUUUAAUGAUUUAGCUUCAUUAUCAGCGUUUUUGUUAGUGUCCAUGUAACCGGCAUAGUUUAACAGGGUUCUGCUACGGUCAUUAAAUUCACAUGAAGUAAACUCUUUAAUAUUGUCCGUUUUUUUUUUCUUAUGUGUAGCACUAUCGCCUUCAAGAAACGAGUUUGACUGACAAGUUGAGUCUAUUGAAUGACCGGCGCUUGGAUGCCUUUGCUGAAUUUCAUCAACGGUGGAAACAGAAAAACAAACGUUUUCAGUAGAAUUAGCCGAUUCACAAAGUUCUUUUAUAAGAGGACUCCUGUUGGCUUCAAUUGAUUUAUUUCCUAACUUCUCUAAAGAUUUUUCGAACAAUUGAGGCUUCCUAUGGUAAUAAAAACCACUAGAAGAUAUUUCUUCCCUAUUUGAGUGAUAUGCAGAGUGCUCGAAAGUAUUUCUGCAUGAAGCACUAUUUUUAAUUUUGCUGUAUCUAGAUAAAAGGACAUCAUUAUCUUCAGCUACCCGAGUGUUAAGAUCGGGUUCUAAGAUAUCUGAUUCAUUGUCGCUAAAGGAAGAAAAAAGAAGAGGGAGAUUUUCAGUAUCAAAAUCUUCUUCAUCCACAGCGUUUAAGUUGUGCUCAUGAACCUUAUGUCCCGUACAAUUGUGAUGCACAAGCUGUUGAGUAGACUCAAAAUCACAUUUAGAAGUUAUCAGCCUAAUUUCACAACAUUCAGUAACAGAUCUUUUUCGUUUACUAUUACAAUCUUUAGGGUUUUUGUUUAGCUCUGGCUCUAUUGUUAUCAUGUCAUCAUCCUAAAGCUCAGUUAAUAUACAUUUACUUCAGUUCAAUGUAAUAUUUCUAAUCAUUUGCUAUAGAAUAUCAUAUUUUUUUCAUACGUCCGUGAAUAUAUCAGGAGAAGAUGAUACCUCAAUGUAUUCUUCAGCCGACAUCCAUUUAAUGAAACUUAGCUUGAAAGCAGCGUACUCAGAAUCCUAAAACACCAAGAAAACGAAAGAAUAUCCCAAAAAAUGAUGAAUAUUUAAUUUCGAUUGUUUUGUUUUGUGUACUAGCCUGAAUUUGUCGAAAGUUUUUCGUCCAGUUUCUUAUUUUGGUUUAGACAAGUGGCAGCAAAACCAGAAUAUGCUUGAUAUUUUAACUCAUCGUCUGAUAAAAAUAACUAAAUGGUUUCACAAAAAUGCGCAAUACGAAAAUGAAACAAUAUUUAGAUAAAAUCUUAUUGAUUGAAAU